rnacentral:rRNA from 1 species
CCUAGGGGGUGCAGCAGUGGGGAAUAUUGGACAAUGGGCGAAAGCCUGAUCCAGCCAUGCCGCGUGUGUGAAGAAGGCCUUCGGGUUGUAAAGCACUUUCAGUGGGGAAGAAAGCCUUGGGGCUAAUACCCUCGAGGAAGGACAUCACCCACAGAAGAAGCACCGGCUAACUCCGUGCCAGCAGCCGCGGUAAUACGGAGGGUGCGAGCGUUAAUCGGAAUUACUGGGCGUAAAGCGCGCGUAGGCGGUCUGAUAAGCCGGUUGUGAAAGCCCCGGGCUCAACCUGGGAACGGCAUCCGGAACUGUCAGGCUAGAGUGCAGGAGAGGAAGGUAGAAUUCCCGGUGUAGCGGUGAAAUGCGUAGAGAUCGGGAGGAAUACCAGUGGCGAAGGCGGCCUUCUGGACUGACACUGACGCUGAGGUGCGAAAGCGUGGGUAGCAAACAGGAUUAGAUACCCCUGUAGUC